rnacentral:rRNA from 1 species
CCUACGGGUGGCAGCAGUCGAGAAUCAUUCACAAUGGGGGAAACCCUGAUGGUGCGACGCCGCGUGGGGGAAUGAAGGUCUUCGGAUUGUAAACCCCUGUCAUGUGGGAGCAAAUUAAAAAGAUAGUACCCCAAGAGGAAGAGACGGCUAACUCUGUGCCAGCAGCCGCGGUAAUACAGAGGUCUCAAGCGUUGUUCGGAAUCACUGGGCGUAAAGCGUGCGGAGGCUGUUUCGUAAGUCGUGUGUGAAAGGCGCGGGCUCAACCCGCGGACGGCACAUGAUACUGCGAGACUAGAGUAAUGGAGGGGGAACCGGAAUUCUCGGUGUAGCAGUGAAAUGCGUAGAUAUCGAGAGGAACACUCGUGGCGAAGGCAGGUUCCUGGACAUUAACUGACGCUGAGGCACGAAGGCCAGGGGAGCGAAAGGGAUUAGAUACCCCAGUAGUC